UGCAGGAAGUGACCACCUGCACUGCGGAGACUGGCCCCAGAGGAAGACCCGCCACCUGCCCCCAGGCCCCAGCCUCCAGCCCCUCCACAGACCACGCGAACCAAGGGCUCCAUCCUCAGACGAGAAGCUGUUCUUCUCCUGGAAGAUCAUAAAGUCAUGAGACCAAUAGCACCUGGACAGUUACAUCAGCAUCGCUGUGGUUUUCCUCCAAGAACGGAUAUGAAGCUCAGAAGAGGAACUAAAGCUAAGAAAAACCGAGUGACAAAUACUGAUCUGGGGAGAAGGACUUGGGUGUGUCCUGACCUGCAGUGUGUUGCAUCACCAGCAAAACAGCACUUGCCUGAAUCGAGGCCUGAUAGGACACCUGGGUUUCCCACAAAGGAAACCGCGGGUCCGGCUGCCCCGAGGGAAAUGGUGUGGGGGCUCCUGGGUAAGGGGGGGGCGACAGAAACCUCGUCCUGCCGUGCGCCAGGUUCCAAAGAGUAAGGGGGGGCUCCUUGUGUUUAAAUGCAGUACUAGCAAACAUCGCCGUCUUUAAAACCCUGAUACUGUCUCUUUGUGAUGACCCAGGGGGGAAAACUGCUAAAACUAAGAGCAGCCAUAUUCUUCCAAAAUAAAGACUUUCAAACCCAGUCA
rnacentral:lncRNA from 1 species